GCUCCGACCGCUGCCCCUCCCCGCUCCUCCUGGGCUCGGCGGUGCCCGCAUCGUGCUCGUUAGGCGGGGGAGGGGAAGUCUCUGUGCCCUGCAGAGGUACCCCGCUAUGCCGACGCUGGCGCAAGCGCCGAGACGCAGAGCCCACGGAGCACAGGUCCUUGCAGAUAUGGAAAUCUCGAGGCUGCGACUGUGGGAAUUGAGGAACUCCGUGUCCUCAUGUGUCUGUGUAUUGACCAAUUACGUAAGGCUCUAUCUGUGGUUGGCAUCUCAGUACUGAAAGGCGUUAUGAUACUUAGAGGAGAAAGGCGAGAAAAAGAUGGUAUUGGUGUUAAUGGUAUUGGUAUUUCUAUGGGUAUUGGGUACGGGUGUUGGUAUUAACGUUAGUGUUAGUAUUUAGUUUCCCCGCUUCUAUUGUAUUCCCAUCGCCAUGGAGAGGACUGCUGCACUGUACCUCCAGCACUGUAUGCUGGCUGCAGUCUGAAGGCUGUUAGAAAUUUUCCAUCCAACACGUAUACACUGGCUGGCUGUUGCCCUGUCACAGACAACGCACCCGGUUAGGUACAAUGAUACUCCUUUCUUUGAAAUGAGAAAUUUGAAAAAGAAAGACUCGUUUCCAUGAAUGGCUUUUCUGGUUAAUGCACGCUGCAGCUUUUAUUCUGUUCCUGUAUUUCUAGGAUGGUGACAGUACAUACAGUGGGAAAACAAUUACACUCAGAAAAUUGAUUAAUGCACAUUGAAGCCUUGCAUGUAUACCAUGACUUGGAGACAUUGCCAGGCAUGCCAGCAUAGCAAGUAAGGUGUUCUGAUUUCUCAGAUAAAGAUGUAUUUGCUACGAAGUUCAGAACUGCUGUGUGAAGAAACCUCAUUAUCAGAUAAUGUGCACCAAAAUGUCCCAUCUCGUUUUUACUUUUAGUGAAAGGCCAUCAAGAUGAGACUGAAAACAUACAUCAUUUCUCUAAGCUUUUAAAUCCUCACUGUGGUUAAGACUCCUUGAGCAGCUCUCGCAGGACCGUCCUGCAGAGUACUGUGCAAUUCGUGGAAGUGCCCCAAAUCACUGUCAUUUGACUUCGUGUUACUGGCUUAUGGCAUUCCCGUAGGGCACGAGCUGCGUUGUGCUCUGUAGCUGAGGGGCUCCGCGGCAAGGUGUACCCCAGGGCUCCCCCAGACACCUACAGGUACCCCGCAGAGAGAGAGAAAGUGGAAACCACCAGCAACACUGAGCCCCUGGCAUGCUUAAGCACCCUUGUCUUUCCUUAGAAGUUUUAAGACCUCAGUUGUCCUCUAGCUUACAGCAGGAUGGUUUCGAGGAGAGAUGGACCAGUCGGACACCUCUUUCAUGUAGAGGGACACUGCAAAUAUCUCUCGGGGCUGUCUUUCCUACCCAUCUCUUUUCCCAAUUUUUACUGAACCAACUUGCAUUGCAUUUACUGAACCUGGUUUGGCUUAUUUGUUUGUUAAUUUGUUGGUUGAUUCAUCCAUUCAUUUAUUCAUUCGUUCGAUCGUUCAGGUAUUUGUUUCUUCCAGGAGAUCACGGACAGUUCCCACCUCACUGUUGCCAAACGGCAGUGAUGGGGAGAAGCUGAAGCACAAAGGGCGAAGGGGCCAGGCCCGUGCCGCUGCCUCCGCGGCCGCUCUGUCCCAGGACGGCGGUGGGGACCCGGGGGAGCUUCCUCGAGCCCAUGGAGCGGUGCUCUCGGGGCAGGCUGAGGGCGGUGGGUCGCGGUUUGGGGUGCGCUCGUCUUUCUCGUCCGCUGCGCUUUUCUUCCAAAUUGCGGCCGACCGCAAGAAAUGAAGAAACCGCAGAUCAACGCAAAUGGAACUGCUAUUGUAAAUCCAAUCGCCAUCGCAUCUGUUUCACUGGAAAUGCGAACUGCACAGUGAAAUGCACGGAGCUCACUUCAAUUCGUUAGUUAAAUCGUGAUUGGGGGGGAGGGGGAAGGAAGAGAGAGAGAGAGAGAAAAUUCUGAUUGAUUUGGCGUAUCUCUUACGUUUAUUUUUGCUUAGCACUGCAUGCCUUACACGCAGUUUUUGGCCCUGAGUUGUUGAAGGGCAGAUUCAGGGCAGCGGAUGGCGCCGAGCGGUGUCCGCCGGGAGCAGAAUUUCGGGUUCUCUUCCUACCCAGAAGGGGUCCGGAGUGACAGCAGGACCCUUGUUGCCUAGGAAUUAAGUUGUUUCUGCUGCUUAUUCCUUACCUGAAGCCCUAAUCCUCUGUUUGUGCUGCAGCACAGAACAAAUUAUUUCUUAUCAACCAAAGAGCUCCCUUGUAACAAUUAAAGUCUAUUGUGUAAAAGUAUAAA